rnacentral:rRNA from 1 species
UACGUAGGGAGCAAGCGUUGUCCGGAAUCAUUGGGCGUAAAGCGCGCGUAGGCGGCCUCAUAAGUCCGUUGUGAAAGUCAAAGGCUCAACCUUUGAAAGCCGAUGGAUACUGUGAGGCUAGAGUCCGGAAGAGGCGAGUGGAAUUCCUGGUGUAGCGGUGAAAUGCGCAGAUAGUCGGGAAGAACACCCGUGGCGAAGGCGGCUCUCUGGGACGGUACUGACGCUGAGACGCGAAAGCGUGGGGAGCGAACAGG